rnacentral:rRNA from 1 species
ACAACGGAUCUCUUGGCUCUCGCAUCGAUGAAGAACGCAGCGAAAUGCGAUACGUAAUGUGAAUUGCAGAAUUCGUGAAUCAUCGAAUCUUUGAACGCACCUUGCGCCCUUUGGUAUUCCGAAGGGCACACCCGUUUGAGUGUCGUGA